rnacentral:rRNA from 1 species
GACGAACGCUGGCGGCGUGCCUAAUACAUGCAAGUCGAACGCAGUGAGGACUGGUGAGUAACCCGUGGGUAACCUCCCAUCAGAGGGGAUAACACUUGGAAACAGGUGCUAAACCGAUACUGAUGGAUGGACCAGCGGUGCAUUAGCUAGUUGGUGAGGUACCGGCUCACCAAGGGCACGAUGCAUCGCCGACCUGCGAGGGUGAUCGGCCCAACUGGGACUGAGAGACGGCCCAACAUCCUACGGGAGGCAGCAGUAGGGAAUCGUAGGAAAUGGACUAAAGUCUGACCGAGCAACGCCGCGUGAGUGAAGAAGGUUUUCGGAGCUUAAAGCUCUGUUGUUAGAGAAGCGGUAUCUAACCAGAAAGCCACGGCUAACUACGUGCCAGCAGCCGCGGUAAUAC